AUUGAACGCUGGCGGCAUGCUUUACACAUGCAAGUCGAACGGUAGAGGGGGCAACCCCUUGAGAGUGGCGAACGGGUGAGUAAUGCAUCGGAACGUGCCCAGUCGUGGGGGAUAACGCAACGAAAGCUGUGCUAAUACCGCAUACGAUCUCUGGAUGAAAGCGGGGGACCGAAAGGCCUCGCGCGAUUGGAGCGGCCGAUGUCAGAUUAGGUAGUUGGUGGGGUAAAGGCUCACCAAGCCAACGAUCUGUAGCUGGUCUGAGAGGACGACCGGCCACACUGGGACUGAGACACGGCCCAGACUCCUACGGGAGGCAGCAGUGGUGAAUUUUGGACAAUGGGCGCAAGCCUGAGCCAGCAAUGCCGCGUGCAGGAAGAAGGCCUUCGGAUUGUAAACUGCUUUUGUACGGAACGAAAAGGUCUGGGUUAAUACCCUGGGCACAUGACGGUACCGUAAGAAUAAGCACCGGCUAACUACGUGCCAGCCGCCGCAGUAA
rnacentral:rRNA from 1 species